AACAGAUCCCAUGAAAUAAAACAGUAUUAGUGAACUGUUAUCAUUAAACAAACUGAUGGGCUACAAUAAAAAUUAAACCGAGGGAAUUAAAUCUCAAGUGAAGUUGUGUGAUGUAUAUAACUGAAAACUAGCUCUUCGUUAAGAACAGAAUGGAAUAAUUUGUAAUCAAUCAGAAGUAAAGGGCUCUUGGGUAACUGGUUUAAAAUUUAAA